UUCUUUCUAGAUGACAUCAGCUUGUGUUGAGUUAAUGAAAUACAUACAUUACAUGCAUACAUACAUACAUACAUGCAUACACACAUAUAUAUAUACAUAUACAUGUAUAUAUAUAUAUAUAUAUAUAUAUAUAUAUAUAUAUAUAUAUAUAUAUAUAUAAAGACACACCCAGGACAGGGGAUAUGGUUAUAAUUUCCUUCCCCGCUUUUAUAUUGGAAUUCACAGUUCUAGAAAAGACCAACUAGAAAGCAAAUAGAGAUGGAAACAAGCCCUAUUGUAGCAGGGUAACAAUAAAGCUUUGAAUUAAGUGACAAGUAGAGGGCCUGAGUGAGAAAUAUAGCAAAUUACAUGUCCAACAGGAUGGCCACAGAAACAUUUCCCAUGGACCAUCCUCCAGAAACGUGUGGUUCCCUAUAAAGAGGUGGAGCCUAUGUCUUCUCUACCUUGGCAAGCCAUUGUGACCAAAGGGUAGACUAUGUGACUUCCAAGGUAAGAUCAGAGACAACAACAUAAGUUAUACCUGGUUCUCUUUGUCUCAAGAUGUGGCUGUCAGAAGCUAGCUGUUACAUUGUGAGAAAAAUGACCCAGCCACAUAGAAAGGAUCAUGUGGAAAGAAAUGGCCCCACCUGAAGUCCCUGUCAAAAUAGACUGCAAUGACACUAGGUAGCUGAGGAAGAUGUCUUACUGUAGGUCCUUCAACAAUUAGUUAAUAUCUCCUGUGUAACACAGAACAGUUGAGUCAAGGCUUCCAGCCCAUUAAGUUCUGCCAGAAUUACAAAUUUGUAAACAAGCUACAUUACCAAUGUUGCUGGUAAUCUCUAAUAUGGUGGUAACCAGAACAAAAGAAGCCAAUAAGAAAAGGGUUUGCCAGGCAUGAUGGUGCAUGCCCUUAAUCCCAGCACUCAGGAGGCAGAGGCAGGCAGAUUUCUGAGUUCAAGGUCAGCCUGGUCUACAAAGUGUGUUCCAGGACAGCCAAGGCUAUACAGAGAAACCCUGUCUCGAAACCCGCCCCCCCAAAAAAACAAAUAAAAGAAGAAGAAGAAAAGGGUUCACUGGUAUGUUAGCCAAUGGACUCACAACACACACAGAGAGAGAGAGAGAGAGAGAGAGAGAGACAGAGAGACAGAGAGACAGAGAGACAGAGAGACAGAGAGACAGAGAGACAGAGAGACAGAGAGACAGAGAGACAGAGAGAGACAGACAGAGAGAGACAGACAGAGAGAGACAGACAGAGAGAGAGUCAAGAAAUAUCAAAAGCCAGCUUGCUGAUUCAAUCAUGUCCCUAUUACUCUAAGAAGGGAACUUGGACAUACUGCAUCCACUGGUAGUCACUGUAGUUCCAAUUGUCUUAUUUCCAGAAUAGACAUUCUGGUGGUAAGGGAACAUAGACAAAUGAUCAGAUAGAGACCAUCUCUUUACUGUGUCUUAGGAAAGAUAUUAGACCUUUCACAUCCUUUUUCUCACCAAACACCAUUUUUAAAAAAAUAUCUACAAUCUCAUACCCAUCUAUAAGAUUAAUAUAUGACCAAUGUGUGCAGGGACACGAUUCAAACUCAAGCUUGAGUCCACUGCUUGCUCUUUCUCUGCUUCGCCAUGCUCCAUGUUCAUUCCCAGGUUGUGAGUUUGGUUUUCACAAAAAUCACCAUUAGCUCUGAUUUUUCAGCACUGGGGACUGAACCAAGCUCACUGUGCAUGGCCAGGCAAGCAUUCAGCUGCAGAGCUCCAUCCCCAGGCCUACCACUGACUGUUAGCAAUGCACACUCACUCUCCUUCAGGAGCCAGCUAGUUACCUUUCUUGGCUACUAUUCUUAAAGGGAGAGUUUGCAUUCCUGAAGCGUACACUCCACAGCCCCAUGAUAUUGGAAGCAGAUGGCUCACAGUAUGCUGUGAGACAUGGGAAUAAAAAUUACAAAAAAAAAAAAAAGGAAAGAAAGAAAAAAAAGGAAAAAGAAAGAAAGAAAUUCUGUCACAGUUUUGGAAUGCUGAGCAUCUAUGAUGAGAACAGGAUGCAGAGUAGGUCUUAAACAUUGGAAGAUAUAUAUAUAUAUAUGCCAUUGCCUUUGUUUAAAGGGCUCUUGAGGUC
rnacentral:lncRNA from 1 species